rnacentral:tRNA from 1 species
GUAUCCGUAGCUCAGUUGGAUAGAGGUACUGCCCUCCGAAGGCAGGGGUCGUGGGUUCGAAUCCCGCCGGAUGCGCCA